AACUCCCGACAUAGGUAGCACGUCACAAUACUGCGCACUCGGUUGGAUAACACCGUUAUUCGUCGUGGCCAGCACGGCGGGUUUACAACUCGAUAAAUACGGCAAUGCAAGAUACUGUUUUCUUCCCGUCGAGGAUAAUAUCAUAUUUGCCUUCCUAGUUCCUGGUCUACUUAUCAUCAUGACCAAUUACACAUGUUUAUGUUAUGUUCUUUAUGAAUACAUCACGACGAAGAAGAAAGAUAAAAAGAAUCUCCCGCAAGUCUUGUCGGUGGUGCCUAACGCGAGAGCAUGUGCAGUGGUAUCGGCCUUCUUACUUCUUGAUUGGUCUUUUUUCGUGUUAGCACUUCGACUCAAUGUCACAGCAGUCAACGUCUUAUGGGCUUUUAACAAAUUA